rnacentral:rRNA from 1 species
AGUGAACGCUGGCGGUAGGCCUAACACAUGCAAGUCGAACGGCAGCACAGUAAGAGCUUGCUCUUACGGGUGGCGAGUGGCGGACGGGUGAGGAAUACAUCGGAAUCUACUUUUUCGUGGGGGAUAACGUAGGGAAACUUACGCUAAUACCGCAUACGACCUACGGGUGAAAGCAGGGGAUCUUCGGACCUUGCGCGAUUGAAUGAGCCGAUGUCGGAUUAGCUAGUUUGCGGGGUAAAGGCCCACCAAGGCGACGAUCCGUAGCUGGUCUGAGAGGAUGAUCAGCCAUACUGGAACUAAGACACGGUCCAGACUCCUACGGGAGGCAGCAGUGGGGAAUAUUGGACAAUGGGCGCAAGCCUGAUCCAGCCAUACCGCGUGGGUGAAGAAGGCCUUCGGGUUGUAAAGCCCUUUUGUUGGGAAAGAAAAGCAGCAGGUUAAUACCCCGCUGUUCUGACGGUACCCAAAGAAUAAGCACCGGCUAACUUCGUG